GAUGAACAGAUGAAGUUCCGGAGAGAAAUGCGGGACUCAGAUUCCAUGUUAGUAAUUUCAUGAAAAAAUAUAAUAUGCAACCUUCUCCAACAAUGUCCAACUGUUGGGUAAAAACAAAGUCUUAUCUUGUUAAAACAAGAGGAUAAAAAUGAAUUUAUAUGAAUACAUAAAGUUUCCAUUGAAAUGUGACAACAAUCUAACACCAACAUAGUGGUAUAUAGCUGAAAUCUUCCAUCCUUAAUGGUACUGUUUUUCACCUUCAUUCUAAGCUUUCCUAAGUCAACAUUUCAAUUAGAGUCCAUCAAAUUCAAUAACUGGAUGAAGUGAAUGAUUCCUUUUAAUCGGGAAUCACGUUACAAUUGAUGCAAAAAUGACUCAUUGUUGAUUUUAUUUAUCCAAACCCAACCAAAAUACUACCAAUGAGAGAGUGUACAAGUUCAAAGAAAAAACAUACCUUAAUUGAGAGAUUUGUUGGUGAUUGAAGGGUAAGAGGCGUAACAUGCGAGAUUAGAUGAGAGUUGAUCAUCUCUCUGUAGAGAAUAUAGUCAAAAUAUGAAGGUGUGAAUAUACCUCAAAUGAAUAGGAUAUAUGAUUGGUGGUCCAUAACAGCAUUCCGUUACGCAAGGUGUUCGAGUGCACAAGAGUUUGGCCGCGAAAUGGCGAGCAUUUCAAAUCUAACGAACAUUCUGCCACUGCACAUCCGAAGGUUCCGACCUUCUCUGUGCACUCUCUCUUGCUCCCUCGCCGAAGACGUCGACCCCAAACCCUCCAUUCCCAACCCCAGUUCCUACUUCCCGAAGCGUGGCCAAACCCUCGAACUCGUCUGCGAGUCCCUCGCUUUCAAAGGCAAGGGCCUCUGCAAGGUCACCCAAACCGGCUUCGUCGUCCUCUGCGACCGCGCUCUUCCCGGCGAACACUUCAUAGGCCGCGUCACUCGCAAGAAGGGAAAUUACGCUGAGGUAACUAAGGUGAAGACUUUAACUCCUCCUCGUGACAUUGUGGAUGCUCCUUGUGUCUAUUCCCCUUACUGCGGCGGCUGCAAGACGCAGAACUUGUCCUACGAGGCUCAGAUUAGAGCUAAGGAGGAGCAGGCACGUGACUUGUUGAUUCACGUGGGGAAGUUUUCUCGCGAACUAGUUCAACUCCACGAUGUUAUGAAGCCCAUUGUUCCUUGUGAUGUUCAGUUUCAUUAUAGGAAUAAGAUGGAAUUCUCGUUUGGUCCUCAAAGAUGGUUGCCUAAAGAAUCACUGAAAGACAGAAAUGAUGAUGCUGGUAGUGAAAACUAUGCGCUGGGGUUGCAUGCUCCUGGUUUUUUUGAUAAAAUUUUGAAUGUUGAUAAGUGCUUACUGCAAUCUGAUCCUGCUAAUAAGGUACUUGCGGCUAUCCAAGAAUGUUGGAGAGAUCCACAACUUGGUUUUUCUCCCUAUAAUGUUCAUUCACACAAGGGAUUUCUUAAGCAUUUGAUGCUGAGAACUGGAAGGGAUGUAACAACUGGUCUGCCUGAAGUUAUGGUCAACUUUGUGACCUCUUCGUACAAGCCAGAAAUGUUGAAGUUCCUAGUUGAUAAAGUUUCCACAUUUCCUGAAGUGGUAAGUGUUGUUAAUAACGUAAAUACUUCUGUUGGUAACACAUCUGUUGGGGAGGAAGAAUACACUUUGUAUGGGAAAUCUAGCAUUACAGAGACCUUAAGAGGGCUUACAUUCCAAAUAUCAGCAAACUCUUUCUUUCAAACGAAUACUUUUCAGGCAGAGGUUUUAUAUAAGCUUAUAGAAGAUUGUGCCAGAGUCAGGGGUGAUGGCUCAGAAAUUGUCCUUGACCUGUUUUGUGGAACAGGCACCAUAGGUCUGACGCUUGCAAGAAGUGUAAGACAUGUUUAUGGCUAUGAAGUAGUUCCUCAAGCCAUCACAGAUGCUCGUCUUAAUGCCAAGAUAAAUGGCAUACAAAAUGCAACAUUUGUCCAGGGAGAUCUCAAUAAAAUUGAUGAGAACUUUGGGAAGAAUUUUCCUAAACCUGACAUUGUCAUUUCAGAUCCCAAUCGCCCAGGAAUGCACAUGAAGUUGAUUAAAUUCCUGCUAAAUCUCAGGGCACCUCGCAUAGUGUAUGUGUCAUGUAAUCCUGCAACAUGUGCACGCGACCUUGAUUUUCUUUGUCAUGGUGUGGCAGAACAGAAUAUAAAAGGAUGUUACAAGUUAAUAAGCCUACAGCCAGUUGACAUGUUCCCACACACACCACAUAUUGAGUGUGUUUGCCUUCUGGAACUUCAGUAAUCUGUGCCCAUUUCCAGGUUGGGCACUAUUUCAUUUUCUCUGCUGUAUUUGGGACUACCUGGGGAUUACAAGUUUAAUCAAGAUAAAAGUCAAGAUUGGGUCUUCAAGGUGAUAGAUAGGAAAACUCUCUUAUGCUGCAAGGUGUGACUGAUGUUUUGCCUACCCAAAACUAUGGUGUCAGUGUACAAAAUCAUUUUGAAUGGCGGUGGUAUUGGCAAGCAUGCCUGGAUGACUAGUUGACUACAUUUCUAUUUAUGCAGAGCCACCAAAAUGUUGGAUUCAUGCUUAGCAACCCCCAAAUAUGAAUUACUGUUGUGUUGAUCCACUUCGCAUGAUAUGACAAGUCCUGAAUUCCAUCAUGAAAUAUAUCAUAUACUACACUUGUCAGAUCCUUGCUUACUUGAGUUGGAGAUGCAAGCCCAUCUUGAAACAUAAGAUGUUUAGCUGGAUGAGCAAACAGUAUUCAGUGUUCAUAUGAAUAUAUUAUAUUCUUUUCUUUAUUUCUUUAUCUUUAGAAAGAAGAGUAAGUGUUAUCUUUGUGGUUUAAGGAAAAAAAUGGUGUUGGUUGGGGUAUGCUUUGAUUGCUUUCAAGUAAUUUUGAAUGGUGUAUUUGUACUGUUAUUAGUCCUGUGAAAGGGGGGAGAGAGACCAUGAAUAACACUGGAAAAAGUUAUCCAGAGGGUUCUCAUGAUGAAUAUCUGCAGAUUUGGUCUUUAACCAAGCCUAUUGGCAUUGUGUAAUCCAUAUGGAUAAGGCUUUUGUUAUUGUAUUUGUAGUUUUGUACUGUUAUUCUAGGUUCGUUUUUCCAUGAUAUCAAAGGGUACUAUUCAAACUGAAAGCAGGAACAAAAUCUUGUUGGUAUAAACAGAAAUUUAUAUGCUAAACAAGACCUGUAUGUUUCGCAAUACUCACCCUAUCAUAGAAUGUAUCUUAAUAAAGACAUGGCUCAAAUCAAGAAAGACUUGGGGGCAAUACUGGGAUAUCUAUAUUCUGAAAAUACCUGAUAUAUAAAUUAAUGAGAGACAUUGGCUAUAGAUAGUGUUCAGGUUUCAGGUUGCGAGGCAUGUUUUUCAAACAUUUCCUAUCUUGUAUUGACCUGAGAGUUUGGCUUGCUGAUUUAGAACUGAGGCAGAGCUUUGAUUUCCUGUGGCUUAUGGUCGUCAUUUGUCUUCUGGACUGUUGAUGGCCAAAAUGUUGCCACAGGAGACUAAGGAUGUACUCCUUUCUUCCUCUUGGAUAGACUACUAGCUGCACUUGUCUGUAAUUCAUUAUCUUUUGAUAUGUGAUGAAUUGCAAUAUAUCUUGGCAUUACUUGAUUUGUCUGUUUGGACAAAUCAGAUGAGGUUUGGUAUAGCAUGGUGAAUCUGAAAGCUGUGCUGACAGGUGAUUUUCAGGACCAUCAGAGUGGAUUUUAGUGGAAGGGCUUAUUAAUAUAUGUAUGACUGACUGGUAGGAAGAUAUGGGCGAAAGAUAUAACACAGGAUUCCAAUCCCUUGAGAAUUUGGAACAAGUUGUAUUCGAAUUUUCCUUGCUUCAUGAAAUGAGGUUCAUUUACUAAAGACCGCAUACUUGUACAGUGAAGCCUGCAUUUGGACUUACGAUACAAGGCCUUCUGACGGGGACAUAAUCAGAACAAACCACUGAUUUCCUGGUGGAG